CGUUAGAAAGGGGAGAGCUGAUGACCACUAGUUGUGAUGUUGGUGGAUAACCAGGAGGUGUUUGCAGUCAGUCAGGUAAACUUGCCAGCGAUUUCAGUUGAAGGAAAAGUUGAACAAGAAGAAACCAGGGCCUGUUUUUACCUAUUUGUUAGGCCAACUCCAUGAACUUUGAGUGACACCCAAUCCCUAAAGCCUGGUCUUUGUCAUCAUGAGGGGGAAAAAAAAAAUGACAUCAUCAAGCCCUCCCUACACAACUCCCAAUGGACAAAACCUACAUGUAUAUCACACCAAGUACAUCAUUCUAUGGGCAAAUUUUUUUCUAUGCCACCACUGGGUAUGAGGAAAAUAAAAAAUGUAAAAC
rnacentral:lncRNA from 1 species